rnacentral:misc_RNA from 1 species
UUUCCGUAGGUGAACCUGCGGAGGGACCAUUACAGAGUUCCCGCCCUCGCGGGUAGAUCUCCCACCCACUGUUAUCGUUACUGUGUUGCUUUGGCGGGCCGCCGGGCCCCGCUCGGCCGCCGGCUCCGGCUGGCGCGCGCCCGCCAGAGGCCCAGCAAACUCUGAAUGUUAGUGUCGUCUGAGUACUAUAUAAUAGUUAAAACUUUCAACAACGGAUCUCUUGGUUCUG